rnacentral:rRNA from 1 species
ACUCCUACGGGAGGCAGCAGUGGGGAACAUUGGGCAAUGGGCGCAAGCCUGAUGCAGCGACGCCGCGUGAGCGAAGAAGUAUUUCGGUAUGUAAAGCUCUAUCAGCAGGGAGGAAAAAUGACGGUACCUGACUAAGAAGCACCGGCUAAAUACGUGCCAGCAGCCGCGGUAAUA